UUGGCACUCUAGGGUGCCAAUUUGUUGUGCUUGUACUCUUUCCAUGUUACCAUUGUUGAAGGAGAUGCAUACAUUUAAGAGCGCAUGCAACGGGAAAUUUUUUUGGGUUGGGACCAUUUACCCUCCCGAAGUCUUUUCUUGUGCUCACUUUUUUGUCGGGCAGUGUGAGGAAUGCCUCCUUUUGGGGUUAAAGCUUAUGGGUGUGCAUUCCUUUAACAUGCAUGUACCCUUUGGCUACAUCGUCUCUCCCGCUUCUCCGGUGAAUCAUGAUAACUCAACGGAUUGCACAACCCUUGUGUUGGCGAUGCUUCAUUCAAAUUUAUGCCCUAUCAACUUUCAAUGGUAGGAUAGAGGCCUACCAUGGUCGUGACAGUUGACAAAGAUUUAGGGUUCGAUUUCGAAGAGGGAUCCUAAGAAAUGGCUACCACAUCCAAGGAAGGCAUCAGAUGAGAAAAUUACCCAAUCCUGACAUGGGGAGGUAGUGACAAUAAAUAACAAUAUUGGGCUCAUCGAGUCUGGUAAUUGGAAUGAGUACAAUCUAAAUCCCUUAACAAGGAUCCAUUGGAGGGAAAGUUUGGUGCCAGCAUUCGCGGUAAUUCCAGCUCCAAUAUCGCAUAUUUAAGUUGUUGUAGUUAAAAAGUUCAUAGUUGGAUCUUGGGUCACAAAGGUCGGUUCGCCUACUCGGUGUGCACCUGCCCUUCCGUCCCUUUUUCUGACGGCAUGCUCCUGGCCUUAAUUGGCUGGGUCGCAGUUUCGACGUUGUUACUUUGAAAAAACUAGAGUGCUCAAAGCAAGAUUAUGCUCUGAAUACAUUAGCAUGGAAUAACGCGAUAAGAUACUGGUCCUAUUCUGUUGGACUUCGAUACCAAAGUAAUGAUUAAUAGGGACUAUCGAGGGCAUUUUUAUUUCAUUGUCAGAGGUGAAAUUAUUGGAUUUAUGAAAGAUAGGCCACUGCGAAAGCAUUUUCCAAGGAUGUUUUCAUUAAUCAAGAAUGAAAGUUGGGGGCUCGAAGAUGAUCAGAUACCAUCCUAGUCUCAACCAUAAACGAUGUUGACCAAGGAUUGACAUAUGUUUCUCUAAGGACUCCACCAACACCUUCUGAGAAAUCAGAGUGUUUGGGUUCCA
rnacentral:ncRNA from 1 species